ACCAACAGAGUAGAAAUUCAAACCUUGUAUCAUCGAUGACAAAAAGAAAAGGAAAAACGUGUAUGAUGUAUGGGACAAGACGUAGUCUAAUCAGAAAUUCAUUGCCAGAUCCCCUCUUGAUCAUAAACAAAUCAAGACUAGGUUUUAUACUAUGGGACAAGACGUAAUCUAAUCAGAAAUUCAUUGCCAGACCCCCUCUUGAUCAUAAACAAAUCAAGACUAGCUUUUAUACUAUUUCCUAUUAGCAAGAUGGUCAUUCGGUAAUCUGCGAAGUUCAUAUGCACCAGAUAGUCAAAACUCGAGCCGAGCCCCAAUGUAAGUACGUCCGAGGAUGACCCAUCAGAAUAGCACCACCGAAUCUGUUCUCAAGG
rnacentral:lncRNA from 1 species